GGGGUUUUCGCUCUUCCCUGCUUACACGGCGGCUGCAAGGGCGAGCGAUAGAGGUGGCUGGAGCUGGACUGCUUCUCUUCUGCGGAGUGCCUCCUUCCCCUCCUCCCCCCUUCACCAUCAAAAGCCGCAGCCCACUCUGCCGGCGCGUGGGGCGCGUCUAAACCCCUCUGUGCUUCAUGUGGCCUCCGGUGCAGCACCUCAACACUCCCUCCCUUCCCCUGCAGUCGCCGCCGGAUGAUGCAGUGCCCCUGGGAUGACGUGAUGACGGAGGCGUUCCGCCGUGCUCAGAUGGCGGGCCGUGUGUUUCCGCAGCUGUGCGAUUUUCCUCCCUCCGUGCCACGAGACGUCGCAGAGCUCAAGUACCUCAUGCCGCUCCGGGCGUUCAGCGAGGUCGGCCACGGAGGUACCCCGACGCACACUGCUCCUCUGUGGUGCGGACCGCUAGAAUCGACUGGGUUCUCGGACUCGAUGGAGGGCGAGGAGGAGUCGCUGUUCAUGACGUACGGCGGUGAUGCUUGGUCUGCUGCGCUCUUUGUGGCGUCGAACACCCGAAGCGGCGACAGCGGCGUUUGCUAGCCUCUCCCCCACCCCUGUCAAGAGAGUCGCACCGCACGCUGCCGAGGGACUUUGCGUUGAGGAACUGAAACGCAAGCUGCCAUCACGCGCCUGAGCGUGCGGGUGUUGCCUACCCUUGCCCUUUUCUUGUUCUCCGUGAGGGCCGGACUCGGAAGGGAGGCGGCUCAGCGGGGGCAGCAGUGCUCUGCUGCGGCAUCAUUUCGUGACGACGUUUGUAGCGCAUGCGCAUCGCGCACACACCACCAAAUGCUAACGCAAAGCCGGCUCUCCUUCUCUCUCCUUCCUCUUGAGAGACCAUCCGUUUUGCUGCCAGUGUCGUUGACUUUCUGCGCGCUGGAGCACAGAAAUCACGGCAGCGCCGUGGGUAGCAACAGC
rnacentral:misc_RNA from 1 species